ensembl:lncRNA
AUCAGAGAACGAGAGGCAGAGCAUUAGGUACACGUGCGCUCCUGGAACAGAUGCCGUCCCGUCGCUGACAUUUCAAAGAAAACACACCAAUCCUGGGCCUGAAAAAUCCUUGGUGUGACUUCGCUCCCUCACGGAGCUGCGACAGCUGGACGGGGUUUACUUAGGCGCUGGAUUUCCCAGAGACGUGAGGAACGGAGGAAAUUAUGUUUACAGAGGGAGCGCGGUGCCCCUCGCUCAGAGGUGCUCGACCACUUUACAUCACAAAGGACCGAAAAACAGCGGCAGGGAAAGCUAAUUAUUCGCCCGGAACCAACAUUCCACCAGAGAGGCGGACGAAUGCAUACCAAGUAGGAAAUCGUUAUUUCUGCCUUUCACAAUGCGGGAAAUGAGGAGCAUGAAGCUUAUUCCUUGGUGGCAGAGCUGCUGACGGAGAUGCCUUGAACUCUGCCUCUCGCUGCUCCUCACCAGUGGCGUUUGGCGUGAUGGAAUCUGCUCAUGUGACACCUGCUGACCUCCCUGCAUUAAACUGGGGAA